rnacentral:rRNA from 1 species
UCGUAGCAAACUAAGAAUACUAGGCAUUGCUUUCCGUUAACCAGUGAGACGGUGGGGGAUAAGCUUCAUCGUCGAAAGGGAAACAGCCCAGAUCACCAGCUAAGGCCCCAAAAUGACCGGUAAGUGGCAAAGGAGGUAGGAAUGCUGAAACAACCAGGAGGUUUGCCUAGCAGCAGCCAUCCUUUAAAGAGUGCGUAAUAGCUCACUGGUAGAGCGUUCUUGCGCCGAAAAUGAACGGGACUAAGCGGUCUGCCGAAGCUGUGGGUAAGACUUAUUAAAAGGUAUAAGAUAUAAAAAGCUUGUAAAAUUUCUAAUUUCUAAUAUUAUAUUUCUAAUUUCUAAUAUUAUAAAGGGAUACGAAAAGUUUUAAUUUGAAAUCUUUACCUUUUUUUGAUCUUACGGUAGGGGAGCGUUCCGCUCUAGGGUGAAGCUCCAACGUAAGUUGGUGUGGACAAAGCGGAAGUGAGAAUGUCGGCUUGAGUAACGAAAACAUUGGUGAGAAUCCAAUGCCCCGAAAACCUAAGGCUUCCUCCACAAGGCUCGUCCAUGGGGGGUUAGUCGGGACCUAAGGCCAGGCCGAAAGGCGUAGUCGAUGGAAAACAGGUUAAUAUUCCUGUACUAAUUUGAUAGUGGUACCGAGGGACGAAGAAGGGAACAGUUGGUCAAUAUUGGAUGUUGGCGGAAACGUCCAAGGUGAUGAAAGAUAGAAUAAAAACUCUUCUUGAGCUGAGGCGUAACACGGUUUGAUUCCCUGAAGAAUAGUAUUGUUCAAAAUGAAACUCAACUAGUUGUCAUACUUCCUAGAAAAGCUCGAACUUCCAAUACUAAAAGAUUACCCGUACCCGAAACCGACACAGGUAGGUAGG